rnacentral:lncRNA from 1 species
UCUCUGCUACGAGAUCUACCCAAUCCAACCUUCCACAGUCCAAUUUCUACACAGAAAUCGUUCAUAUUUUCAACACAAUUCAUAUCUUAUUCGAUUACACAAAAUCUGACACUUUUACAUCUAAUUCCUACGAAUUCUUUCUCAAUUAUACCCCAAUUUCGUUUAUCCAAAAAGUUCACAAAUUCAUCAUGCAUCAAUCUAAUCAGAGGUAAAACAAUGGUUAUCACUACCCAGUACAUAUUAUCACAUAAUGCCCUUUAACCGAUGAUAAACCCCCCUUACCUGAGUUAAUCCAGCAAUCUCUGAGCUCCAAGCUUUUUCCUCUUCUCUUGCUCUGCCUUUUUGCCCUUUUUCCACUUUCAA